rnacentral:rRNA from 1 species
UACGUAGGGUGCAAGCGUUAAUCGGAAUUACUGGGCGUAAAGCGUGCGCAGGCGGUUCUGUAAGUCUGUCGUGAAAUCCCCGGGCUUAACCUGGGAAUUGCGAUGGAGACUGCAAGGCUAGAAUCUGGCAGAGGGGGGUAGAAUUCCACGUGUAGCAGUGAAAUGCGUAGAGAUGUGGAGGAACACCGAUGGCGAAGGCAGCCCCCUGGGUCAAGAUUGGCGCUCAUGCACGAAAGCGUGGGGAGCAAACAGG